GUGUGUGUGUGUGUAUCCGCAAUACAUUGGAACGAUACAGAGAAGAUUAGCAUGGGCCCUGCGCAAGGAUGAUGCGCAAAUACGUGAAGCCUUCCAUAUUUUU